rnacentral:snRNA from 1 species
GUGCUCGCUUCGGCAGCACAUACGCUAAGAUUCGAACGCUACAGAGAAGAUUAUCAUGGCCCCUGUGCAAGGAUGACAUGCAAAUUUGUGAAGCGUUCCAUAUUUUU